CUAACACAUGCAAGUCGAGCGAAGAAGUAAAGAAAUGAAGCUUCGGUAGAUUUCAUUAUGGAAAGCGGCGGACGGGUGAGUAACGCGUAGGCAACCUGCCCUGUACAGGGGGAUAGCCACCCGAAAAGGUGAUUAAUACCCCAUGAUGCAAGAGAUACACAUGUAUCACUUGUCAAAGAUUUAUCGGUAUGGGAUGGGCCUGCGUCUGAUUAGCUAGUUGGUAGGGUAACGGCUUACCAAGGCAACGAUCAGUAGCCGACCUGAGAGGGUGAUCGGCCACAUUGGAACUGAGACACGGUCCAAACUCCUACGGGAGGCAGCAGUGGGGAAUAUUGCACAAUGGGGGAAACCCUGAUGCAGCAACGCCGCGUGAAGGAAGAAGGCCUUCGGGUUGUAAACUUCUGUCCUAGGGGAAGAAACAAAUGACAUUACCCUUGGAGGAAGCCCCGGCUAACUACGUGCCAGCAGCCGCGGUAAUACGUAGGGGGCGAGCGUUAUCCGGAAUUAUUGGGCGUAAAGAGUGCGUAGGUGGCAUCUUAAGCGCAGGGUUUAAGGCAAUGGCUCAACCAUUGUUCGCCUUGCGAACUGGGGUGCUUGAGUGCAGGAGGGGAAAGUGGAAUUCCUAGUGUAGCGGUGAAAUGCGUAGAUAUUAGGAGGAACACCAGUGGCGAAGGCGACUUUCUGGACUGUUACUGACACUGAGG
rnacentral:rRNA from 1 species